rnacentral:rRNA from 1 species
AUGUCGAUCGUGAGGCGGAGCAACGUGUUCGACCCCUUCGCCGACCUUUGGGCGGACCCCUUCGACACCUUCCGUUCCAUCGUCCCGGCGAUCUCAGGCGGCAGCAGCGAGACGGCCGCGUUCGCCAACGCCCGUGUGGACUGGAAGGAGACCCCCGAGGCGCACGUCUUCAAGGUCGACCUCCCCGGCGUGAAGAAGGAGGAGGUCAAGGUGGAGGUGGAGGACGGCAACGUGCUCGUCGUCAGCGGCGAGCGGAGCAGGGAGAAGGAGGACAAGAACGACAAGUGGCACCGCGUGGAGCGCAGCAGCGGCAAGUUCGUGCGGCGUUUC